rnacentral:lncRNA from 1 species
ACAGAUCGACACCACAAGCCCUCAUCCUCCGCUGCCCAUCUGCCAAAGCAAACAAGAACACACAAGACAGUUCAGGCAGGCAUGGAUGCAGAGUUCACCUGAGUUGGGAGGGACUGACUAGCCAACCAUGCAAAUGCAAGCAGGGCGGAGAAUUAGUAGCCGAUGUCGGCGCCGUCGUCGACCAAGGUCGCCGUUGAUGCCGGGGAUAGGUAUCGAUCACACGGUGUUAUGGGCCCUGGUCAAGAUCGCAGGAGGAGACGCUUCAAUCUGGCGAGAUCCCGGCUCUCGUUGCUGCUCUCUCGGAGGUGGAUCUCAUCUGGGAUAAUAUAUAUGGCAGAAUUUCCAAGGAAAUGCACGGUUGCCUUGUCGGCUGAGUGUAACUUCCAGGUCGCAACCUUUGUACGAGCAGCCGAAUGAGCAGGAACGAGUACACAUCACAUUUUAUUGACUCAUGCGUGGGUGGUGUAAACAACGGAAAUGAUUUGCGUACGACGAUGCAUGUCCGAAGCACGUACGACGAUGCAUCCGCAUCGUGAGCUAGCUAACCCGUUGAAAGACAUACGGCUUGAUUUGAUGGUCGUACGUGGUUCGGAUGAGAAUCGUCGUACGUGUAGCACUGCUCAGUCUUGGGUGGUGUAAACAAAGUCUUCUUAGGGUAUGUACAAUGGUUGAUAAGAUAGUUUUAUUUCAAGUUUUACAUGUAAUUUAUAGAUGAUAAAAAAAGUCUUACAAUGAAUCACCUCUUAAUUGUUCUCUCUUAAAUAAGAAAAGACAAAUUUUUUUUAUGAGUUAUCUUUCCUCCACCUCAUCAUUUAUCUUACAUGACACUACUAAGAUAGCAUCAUUGUACAUGUCCUUAUGUGACAGGAAAAAAAAACCAACAGCCCUACCAGGAAAUAAAACAAACGUGUGAAGCACGUGUUGUGCAUGAGAGUGAUUUUGUUUUCUUAACUCAUGCCUUUUGGUUUAUUGCACUAUCUUUCUUUUAACACGCAAGCGUUUAUAUACACGUACAUAGACUGAGCCGGCAUAUCAUGAAAUUUAUGAAUAAAUUCAGAAAUAAAUGCGAACAUCAGGAUUUAAACCCUGAUGAGCUAUGAAUAUCACAAUCUCUCUAACCAUCCAACCACAGACUGGUUCGCAUUGUACUCUUCGUCGUACUAUCUUUUCAAUGUGUUACUUGUUGUCCUUAAUAAUUAUCAUAUCUAAGAUGCCCUUUGGGUGUGUUUCGUACUAUGAAAAAGGGUCCUGCAUGGAUAGAGAGAGCGUGUGCUGACGAGACAGCAUAAAAUGUUUCACCAGUUAGUUAAUAGAGUGUCACAUAAAUAAAAUACAUAGUCCGGGUAGGAAAAAUACUCCACGAUGCUUGAGUGCCCUUGACCAAAGCCUAGCGCCCUCGAUCGCCCCAUCCUUUCCUCCCUGGCUACUACCUCAGAUCACCGCCAAUCCGCAUGACUUCCAAGGACGACAGCGGCGAAGCUCCCUCCUUGAGCAACACCUUGGUACUUGUACGCCUCUUCCUACUGAGCGACGUCGUUGUGCUCUCCGUUGGUUCCUUGGUGGUUGCGUUUUUCUGUUGCCAUUUUUGUUGGCGAUGCUCCGCCCCUCCUUUGGACGGAGCAUUGCCAGUAUAUGGACUUUUUUUUAGAAUAACUGCAUAUUUUUUAACCAGCAAAUGUUACAAACAUAGCACAUACAUAACAUCGCUGAGAGAGCACGAGAGACCAAAGGUGUCCCAACACAAAUGCAAAAAGGUCUCAAAAAGGAGAAAAUACAAUCUGAACCCCCGGGGGCCUUAAUGCAUGAAGAACCAACACCAGUCGCUGACCGCCGCCAUCGACGACGAGACGAACGGCGAAGGAGGACGCCAGAAACCAUCAAACCCUGAGCCGAGGGCACACCAUCACUGAAAAGGGCUUUCUGAGUCGAAGAUGAGCCCGGUCGCAAACGGUGAGGCAUAGCCGUUGUGGCACGUCGACCGGGGAAAGUCCCCGUGCAAAUCCUCGGCUCCAGUUUCGGCACCUCCGUUGGACGAAGUCGAAGGAGAAUUACCAGAUCUACCGCCACAAACCACCACGAGAGUGUUGAGUCACCAAGUCUCUCGCCAACAGCCGCGGUCACCGCACGGGCCGGUGACCAACGCUGGCCCGAGCACUCCUAUACAAGACUCUGUCGGCUUCCCAUCGACACUGAAGAACGUGUCGAUGUGGCAGAGACGAAGCCGAGGGAACAAAACUCCCGAUGUCCCCUGCUUGACCAAAUCCGAGCACGCCAAGCCUGUCGCCGCACACGUCGGCCAGGCCAAACCUAACCUCACCGCCCAAGACGAGCGGCAGGAAUCUACGCCGAGCAGCGCCCGAGGAAACACCACCGAGACGGAGGCGGAACCGGAGGACAAAAGGCACGAGCUGGGCAGCCGUCGCCGCCUCGUCGACCCAGCCCCACCACCCAGAUAUCGCCAGCCACGCGAAACCUGCGAGCAGACCGAAGCUCCCAGCCUUCUCGCCCACCGCAACGCAUACCACCGCGUUGGGGAGAGAGCAGGGGCACCCUUAUUAGCCGCACUCGCCAUUCCCACCGGAGAUGCGAAAACGACCAGCCACCACCAAGCUACAAAGCCUACCUAGACUACACCUGUACAAGCCAUGCCCCCGGAUCCGACGACCCCAACCUGCACCGAAGAGCAUGAAGUCCCGGGGGAGAUGGCGUCGCCGGAUCCAAAGCCGGCAAAGGAGUCGCCUCUCACUAGUGGAAAACGGGCCUUUGGCCAGGACCCUUUAGUCCCGGCCUGCCUCUGGGCCGGGACUAAAGGCCCGGCCACGUCGCCCCAAUUCUCAAUGCCUCCCUCGAGGCUUUAGUCCCGGCCCGUAAGGAGCCUUUAGUCCCGGUUCAUGUUCCAAACCGGGACUAAAGGGCUACGCGGCGGGUAGUGGUGGUGGCAACCGUUCGUAUCCCCCUUUAGUCCCGGUUGGUGGCUCAACCCGGGACUAAAUCCCUAACCCGUGCCCUGCCGUAGUGGUGGUAACCGUUGGUAUACCUCUUUAGUCCCGGUUGGUGGCUCAACCCGGGACUAAAUCCCUAACACGUGGCCUGCCGUAGUGGUGGUAACCGUUGGUAUACCUCUUUAGUCCCGGUUGGUGGCUCACCCCGGGACUAAAUCCCUAACCCGUGCCCUGCCGUAGUGGUGGUAACCGUUGGUAUACCUCUUUAGUCCCGGUUGGUGGCUCAACCCGGGACUAAAGGCCCAAACGGUUUGCAUCCCGCGUCGUUUCGGGCGAUGAAAAGCACGAACCAAAGCAGAGUCGCCAUUUCUCUGUUUCUUCUUCUCUCUCGCUCUCGCUCUGUUCUUCUCCUCUCUUCUUCCAUCAUGCCAACUCGCUUUGGAGAGGUGCUCGCACAUGGCAAGACCAAGCUCGAUGUCGUGUACACGAACGAGAGCAGGGAGAUGCCGUAUUUUCUUGAACAGUUGAAGGAACGAUGGCUUGACGCCGCAAUGGAUCAUGAGAAGUUCUUGGGGCUUGAUCUGGAGUACACGGCCGAUCAACGCGGUGUUGCCGUCAUCCAACUAUGCUUCGCACACCAUGUCUUGAUCUUCCAAUGGGCGAGGUAAGUUUUGAGGCUUUCUUUGAUCCAAGGUAAUGACAUUGUAAGUUUAUUUGUUUCAAUCAUAGUUGGUUCCCUUCAAAUAGUUGUAGUGAAACAAUUUUGAUUAGUUGAAGGGGAACACAAUCUGAUUGGAAUAGUGUUCCAUAAUCUGAAAAAUCGUAUUAGAAUCAACUAGUGUUUAAUAUGUUCCAUUGGAAUCAUAGUUGGUUCGCUUCAAAUAGUUGUAGUGAAACAAUUUUGAUUAGUUGAAGGGAACACAAUCUGAUUGGAAUAGUGUUUCACAAUCUGAAAAAUCUGAUUGGUUCAAUAUGUUCCAUUGAAAUCAUAGUUGUAGUGAUACAAUUUUAUGCGGUGUUAUUUGAUCCAAGGUUAUGAAAAUUGCAUAUAGCUAGUGAUCUCUCUAGGUUCCAUUUGAUAGCAAUAUGAUAUGUCAUAGUCAUGAAAAUUGCAUAUAGCUAGUGAUCUCUCUAGGUUCCAUUGGAUAGCUAUAGUGAUCUCUCUAGGUUCCAUUGCAUAUGUUCUAUUUGAAUCCUAAAGAUAAUUUUCUCUUUAGUUGUAGUGAAACAUGUUUCCUUAUUGCAGCAGUAUGUAACAUUUUCCAUUUUAAUUUGUUUCUGUUGCAGUAGUGACAAGCAUUGUCCAGAACUCAUGGACUUCCUGCGCAGCGGCAUCACUUUUGCUACCGUUGACAUAACGAACGACAAGCUGAAGAUGAGGUACAGCUUCGGUAUUGAGAUACCAACUGGUUGCCUCAUUGAUCUCCAAACGGUAUUCAGGCUUCGACAUGUCAGGACUUCGAUGGCUCAUAUGGCAGUUGCCUUGAUCGACGAGGAAUAUGGUGAUAUGAAGACCAAUUUUCCCAAAGUCUCAGCACAAACUUUGGGAGAAGGCCCCACUUGAUCGUAUCAACAUUGAGUAUGCAACAAAAGAUGCAUACGUUUCAUACGAGUUGUACCGCAAGAUUCGAGUCGUCAACUAUGGCCAGCGUCACCUCGAAUAAGGUGGACAUUCUGAUUCGAGUCGUCAACUAUGAAAACUAAUUCCCGAACACCAAACGAGGCAUCACGUUAAUCUUCCGAACACCUAAACCCUAAAAUCCUAAAACCCAAAAAUAAUUUCAUUCAAAAAAAACCCAAAAAUAAGCAAAAUCUAAAACUCUUUAGUCCCGGUCCGUGUAACGAGCCGGGACUAAAGGGCCUGCCCCUGAGGCGCUACGAGGCGCCCACGUGGAGCAUCUUUAGUCCCGGCUUGUAACAGGGCCGGGACUAAAGGUUAGGCGUCCCGGUUGGUGAACCGGGACUAAAGUCCCUUACGGGCCGGGGCUAAAGGCCCCGUCUCCACUAGUGUCUGGCAGUAUAUGGACUUGUGGUAACCUUUGUUAGGACUUAGGUGCUCCAUCCCUGUUCCUCACCUCUCACCUGAUUUGGACGCCCACCGGUUUGGUCUGGCCUAGUAUCUUUUUCCAGUCAUUUCUCGGUUAGAUGCGGAAGAUUUGCCGCAUGAUCUAGCGAUUGCAUCUGACGUUUUUCUUGACUGGUGAUUAAAGUUGGUCGUUAAGGUCUUGUUGAACGUACGUGUGGACCAAAAUAUGUUUUUAUCUUUGUGACAAGUACAAUGACCGCUGUUGUAUUUAUCUCUCAUCUCAACCCUCAACUAAAUUCUAUGUGAAUUCCUAGUAUCUCUUGCAAUCCCUGGUAUCCAUCAAUUGGUUCUGUCGCGCUCCUAAGUUCUCCUUCCCUCUCCGAUCAUAUAUCUCUUUAGUCGAAUCAUGGCAAGGUCAUGUCAAGACCCAAAUGUUUUUUCAAAAAGAUAGUAUAAACACACACACUCACAUCCAUGAACGCACAUACGCACGUUCUAUUCCUAUAAGCACAUUUGAAAGGCUGAGCCGGCGGAUGUUAAGAUUGACAAAGUCACAACAAACGUCACAUCACUCUAUGGACAGAAACAUUGCCUCCCAUUGAGAGUACAUUUCGCGUUUAUCACACACCAAAGCAUCAACAUUUAAUUCCUUGUGUUAGGAAUUAAUUAAAUGUAUUAAUUAAUGGAAUAAUCCAUGCGUUGCCGGUUGCCUUGAUUUAGCAACCGUUCCUUGUAACCGACUCUGUACUCGGGGUAUAAAUACCCCGCAUCUUCAAUCAAUAAUAAUUGUUCCAUCAUUCUGUCACUUUCACUGUUUUACACGUUAUCAGCACUCGCUCUGCCGAGAGCGACAGAGAGCCACGAGAAAGGUCAGAAUGGCAGGAAGAGAGUUGUCUGCACUUGCUUUUGCUUUCGCACGCUUCCUGCAGAAAGAGAACACCCGCUUCCCUCGCACUCAGCGCCACCGCAUUGCACGUCGCCAUCAGGGUCUUGGUGCAAGGAAUGGCCCUCAUCGCCGUUCCUUCACCAGGAACCACCGCCAGAACCGGAGUGGCCCUCAUCGCCGCUUCUUCGCCGGGAACCACCGCCAGAACCACCGCCGUGGGUAUGCACGUCGAGGCAACCAACCACUUCGUGGGCGUGCACCAACGGUGCACCAGGCUGGAUCCUCGACUCCGGCCACCGCUCCACUACAACAGGCUGGUGUUGUAGAUAUGCCCUAGAGGCAAUAAUAAAUUAGUUAUUAUUAUAUUUCUUAGNNNNNNNNNNNNNNNNNNNNNNNNNNNNNNNNNNNNNNNNNNNNNNNNNNNNNNNNNNNNNNNNNNNNNNNNNNNNNNNNNNNNNNNNNNNNNNNNNNNNUGGAUAAUAAACUAUUAUCUUGAUACAGGAAUUAUAAUAAUAACUAUGCAUUUAUUAUUGCCUCUAGGGCAUAAUUCCAACAGUGCCUUCUAGUUGCACUGUCUGUACCCAGACAGUUUAUAACUCUUCCGCUGGCUUGUAUUUGUAUGACUGCUAUUAUGGGUCGAGAGACCUUAAUGUGUAAUAUUAUGUGUGUGGCUCUUNNNNNNNNNNNNNNNNNNNNNNNNNNNNNCUUCCGAGCCUCUUAAAUAAAGCUUGUAUGUUUAUGGUUAUGUUGUGAUGCCAUCGAUGUAUCUAUACAUAUCGGUAUGCCAUGCGUACGUGUGUCUUACUUGGUAUGUAUGGGGUUCGAAUACCUAGUCGUGAACUUUAGUAGCACUCCUUACAAGGAAAUGCCCCUUUGUGAUCCAACGAGCCUUGGUAGUUCGCUACUGCUCCGGACACAUUGGUUGACCGGCAUGUGUCCUUCUUAGCUGCUGUGUCUGUCCCCUUUGGGGAAAUUUCACGCGAUGUAAUGGAGUCCUUGUAGCUUGCUACGACUCGUCUACAUUCGCCGAUGACCGACACCUGCUUUGUUGGGUCAUGUAUGCCUGUCCUUGUGCGGUACUGCCACUUUGGUUUAUGACUAGACAUGUCGAUCCGGGUUCUUUGACAUUGGAUUGCUAGCGACACUAUCGCAUACGUGAGUCAAAAGACGCAAACGGUCCCGGCUAAGGUAAGGCUGCAGCCGUGGAGUUAACCGUGCGUGAGACCACAAAGGGAUGCGAUGUGUUACAGGCUAGAUUCCUAUGGCUUAGGAUCGAGGUCCCGACACUUUAAAAUAUCCAUUUGUACUUAACGGUCUUACGACCAUCAAGUAGUUCUUCCAAAGUCUACACUUUGUUUUCAUACAUGGAUCCUCUCUCGGAUUUCAUGGCCUCCAGCCAUUUAUCGGAAUUCGAGCCCACCAUCGCUUCUCCAUAGCUCGUAGGUUCAUUGUUGUUCAACAACAUGACCUCCAAGACAGGGUCACCGUACCACUCUGUAGCAGUACGCGACCUUGUCGACCUACGAGGUUUGUAGUAGCUUGAUCAGAAGCUUAAUGAUCACAAUCAUUAGUUUCCACUUCAAUUUGCGUAGGCGCCACAUGAACAAAUUCCUGCGCCCUGCUACACACUAGUUGAAGUGAUGGUUCAAUAACCUCAUCAAGUUCCACCAUCCUCCCACUCAGUUCUUUCGAGAGAAACUUUUCCUCGAGAAAGGACCCGUUUCUAGAAACAAACACUUUGCUUCCGGAUCUGAGAUAGGAGGUAUACCCAACUAUUUUGGGUGUCCUAUGAAGAUGCGUUUAUCCGCUCUGGGUUCGAGCUUAUCAUGCUGAAACUUUUCCACAUGAGCAUCGCAGCCCCAAACUUUUAAGAAACGACAGCUUAGGUUUCUCCAAACCAUAGUUCAUACGGUGUCAUCUCAACGGAAUUACGUGGUACCCUAUUUAAAGUGAAUGUGGUUGUCUCUAAUGCCUAACCCAAAACGAUAGUGGUAUUUCGAUAAGAGACAUCAUAGUAUGCACCAUAUCAAAUAGGGCGCGGCUAUGACAUUCAGACAAACCAUCACACUAUGGUGUUCUAGGUGGCAUGAACUGCAAAACAAUUUCCACAUUGUCUUAACCGUGUACCAAAACUCGCAGCUCAGAUAUUCAUCUCUAUGAUCAUAUCGUAGACAGUUUAUCCUCUUGUCACGAUGAUCUUCACUCUGGAAUAGCUUUGAACUUUUCAAUAUUUCAGACUUGUGAUUCAUCAAGUAAAUACUCAUGUAUCUACUCAAAUCAUCAGUGAAGUGAGAACAUAACGAUAUCCACUGCGUGCCUUAGCACUCAUUGGACUGCACAUAUCAAAAAUCUAUUGCAUCCAACAAGUUACUUUCUUGUUCCAUGUGGUAUGAUUUUGCAUGUCUCAAGUGAGUUAAAAUCAAGUGAUUCCAAACGAUCCAUCUGCAUGGAGUUUCUUCAUGCGUUUAUACCAACAGGUAUGGUUUCCAUGUCUCAAACGUUUCAAAAAUGAGUGAGUACAAAGAUCCAUAAGCAUGGAGUUUCUUCAUGCAUUUUACACCAACAUGACUCAAGCGGCAGUGCCACAAGUAAGUGGUUCUAUCAUUAUUACUUUGUAUCUUUUGGCACCACUAUUAUGAAUAUGUGUAACACUACGAUCGAGAUUCAAUAAAUCAUUGAAGGUAAUUAUUCAAGAAAAUAGAAUAACCAUUAUUCUCUUUAAAUGAAUAAUCGUAUUGCAAUAAACACGAUCCAAUCAUGUUCAUGCUCAAAGCAAACACCAAAUAACAAUUAUUUAGGUUUAACACCAAUCCCGAUGGUAGAGGGAGCGUGCGAUGUUUUGAUCACAUCAACCUUGGAAACACUUUCAACACGUAUCGUCACCUCGCCUUUAGCUAGUCUCCGUUUAUUUCGUAGCUUUUAUUUCGAGUUACCAAUCACUUAGCAACCGAACCGGUAUCUAAUACCCUCGUGCUACUAGGAGUACUAGUAAAGUACACAUCAAUAUCAUGUAUAUCAAAUAUACUUCUGUUGACUUCGCCAGCCUACUCAUCUACCAAGUAUAUAGGGUAGCUCCGCCUCAGUGACCGUUCACCUCAUAACAAAAGCACUUAAUCUCGGGUUUGGGUUCAAUCUUGGGUUUCUUCAUUAGAGCAGCAACUGGUUUGUCGUUUCAUGAAGUAUCUCUUCUAGCCCUUGCCCUUCUUGAAACUAGUGGUUUUACUAACCAUCAACAAUUGAUGCUCCUUCUUGAUUUCUACUUUCGUAGUGUCAAACAUUGUGAAUCGCUCAAGGAUCAUCAUAUAUAUCCUUGAUAUGUUAUAGUUCAUCACGAAGCUCUAGCAGCUUGGUGGCAGUGACUUUGGAGAACCAUCACUAUCUCAUCUGGAAGAUUAACUCCCACUUGAUUCAAGCGAUUGUUAUACUGAGCACAUGCUCAACGAUUGAGCUUUUCUCCUUUACUUUGUAGACAAAGAAUCUUGUUGGAGGUCUCAUACCUUUCAACAAGGGCACGAGCAUGAAAUCUCAAUUUCAUAUCUUAGAACAUCUUUUAUGUUCCGUGACGUUUCAAAAUGUCUUCGGCGUCUUGCAUCUAAGCCAUUAAGUAUUACGCACUGAACUAUCACGUAGUCAUGAAAAAUGUGUAUGUCAGAUGUUCGCAACAUCCACAGACGACGCUUGAGGUGCAGCACACCGAGUGGUGCAUUAAGGACAUAAGCCUUCUACGCAGCAAUGAGGACAAUCCUCAGUUUUACGUACUCAGUCCGCAAAGUUACUACUAUCAUCUUUCAACUAAAUUUUCUCUAGGAACAUAUAAAAAAACAGUAGAGCUAUAGCGCAAGCUACAUCAUAAUUCGCAAAGACCUUUUGACCAUGCUCAUGAUAAUUAGUUCAAUUAAUCAUAUUACUUAAGAACUCCCACUCAAAAAAUACAUCCCUCUAGUCAUUUCAGUGGUGCAUGAUCCAAAUCCACUAACCCAAGUCCGAUCAUCACGUGAGUUGCGUAUAGUUUCAGUGGUAAACAUCUCUAUGCUAAUCAUAUCAACUAUAUGAUUCAUGCUCGACCUUUCGGUCUCUUGUGUUCCGAGGCCAUGUCUGCACAUGCUAAGCUCGUCAAGUUUAACCCGAGUGUUCCGCGUGUGCAACUGUUUUGCACCCGUUGUAUGCGAACGUUGAGUCUAUCACACCCGAUCAUCACGUGGUGUCUCGAAACGACGAACUGUCGCAACGGUGCAUAGUCGGGGAGAACACAAUUUUAUCUUGAAAUUUUAGUGAAGGAUCACGUUAUAAUGCUACCAUCGUUCUAAGAAAGAUAAGGUGCAUAAAAGGAUUAACAGCACAUGCAAUUCAUAAGUGACAUGAUAUGGCCAUGAUCUUGUGCUUCUUGAUCUCCAUCACCAAAGCACCGACAUGAUCUUCAUCGUCACCGGCACCACACCAUGAUCUCCACCAUCGUGCCGCCAUCGAGGUUGUCGUGCUAUAUACGCUAUCACUACUAAAGCUACAACCUAGCGAUAUAGUAAACGCAUAUGCAAACACAAACGUUAGUUUAAAGACAACCUUAUGGAUCCUGCCAGUUGCCGUAGCAUCGACGUGCAAGUCGAUAUUUAACUAUUACAAAAUGAUCAUCUCAUACAUCCAAUAUAUCACAUCAUGUCUUUGGCCAUAUCACAUCACAUGCAUACCCUGCAAAAACAAGUUAGACAUCCUCUAAUUUGUUGUUGCAUGUUUUACGUGGCUCCUAUGGGUAUCUAGUAUGAUCGCAUCUUACUUACGCAUAGCCACAACGGUAAUAUGCAAAUUGCUAUUUAACCUUUCUCCAAGGACCGCCUCGGUCAAAUCCGAUUCAACUAAAGUUGAAGAAACAGACACCCGCCAGUCAUCUUUAUGCAACAAGUUGCAUGUUAGUCGAUGAAACCGGUCUCUUGUAAGCGUACGAUUAAGGUUGGUUUGGGCCGCUUCAAUCCAACAAUACCGCCGAAUCGAGAAAAUACUAAGGAGGGCAGCAAAUUGAACAUCAAUGCCCACAAAAACUUGUUUGUUCUACUCGAGAUUACAUCUACGCAUGAACCUAGCUCAUGAUGCCACUAUUGGGGAACGUUUCAUGGGAAACUAAAAAAUUCCUACACACACGAAGACCUAUCAUGGUGAUGAUCAUCUACGAGAGGGAGAUCGGGUCCACAUACCCUUGUAGAUCGCUAAGUGGAAAUGUUAAGAAACGUGUAUGAUGUAGUGGUAUGUCUUCACGAUCCGUCCCACGAACCGUCUCACGAUCCGUCCCGAUCAAGUGUUGAACGGACGGCACCUCCGCGUUCCGCACACGUACAGCUCGAUGACGAUCUCCGCCUUCUUGAUCCAGCAAGAGGGGCGGAGAGGUAGAUGAGUUCUCCAGCAUGGCGAUGUGGUGGUGGUGUUGGUGGUGCUAUUCCAGCAGGGCUUCGCCUAAGCACCGCUGAAACUAGAGGAGAAACAGAUCUAGAGAGAGAGGGCAGCACGUGGCUGUUUCUGUUGUCCAAAAACCCUCAAAACCCUUAGUAUAUAUAGGAGGAGAGGAGGGAGAGGGUUGCGCCCUAGAGCAACCUUCUCUUCCCUUGCGCAAGGGAGAGGAGGAGGAGUCCUACUCCAAUCCUAUUUGGAGUAGGAUUCCUCCUUCCCACUUGGAAACUCUUUCCACCUUGUGUUUUUCCUUCUCAAACCUUAUGGGUCUUAGUGGGAACUUAUUCGAGCCCACUAGGGGAUGGUUUAUCUCUUGCCACAGCCCAUAAGGCCUCUUGGGGCGUGACACCCCUCCCGAUGGUCCCCGGCACACCUCCCGGCACUCCCGGUACACUACCGAUGAGCCCGAAACUUUUCCCGUGACCAAAACAGGACUCCCUAUAUAUCAAUCUUCAUUUCCGGACCAUUCUGGAAACCUUCGUGAUGUACGGGAUCUCAUCCGGCACUCUGAACAACCUUCGGUCACCAACACAUAUAACUUAACUAUACCGAAACAUCACCGAACUUUAAGUGUGUAGACCCUGCGGGUUCGAGAACUAUGUAGACAUGACCUGAGACACUCUUCGGUCAAUAACCAACGGCGGGACCUCGAUGUUCAUAUUGGCUCCUACAUAUUCUACGAAUAUCUCUAUCGGUUGAACCUCUAUGUCAAGGAUUAAUAUAAUCCCGUAUACUAUUCCCUUUGUCCUUCGGUAUGUUACUUGCCCGAGAUUCGAUCGUUGGUAUCUCCAUACCGAGUUCAAUCUCGUUACCGGCAAGUCUCUUUACUCGUUCCAUAAUACAAGAUCUCGUGACUAACUCCUUAGUCAUAUUGCUUGCAAGGCUUGUUGUGAUGUUGUAUUACCGAGUGGGCCCCCUAGAUACCACUCCGUCACAUGGAGUGACAAAUCACAGUCUUGAUCCAUGCCAACCUAAUAGACACCUUUGGAGAUACGUGUAGAGCACCUUUAUGGUCACCCAGUUAUGUUGUGACGUUUGAUACACACAAGGCAUUCCUCCGGUGUCCGGGAGUUGUGAUACGUCCAUUUUGCAUCAUGUUUUCAUGUUGAUAUUUAUUGCUUCUUGGGAUGUUAUAUUACUUGUGGUGCCAUAUUUAUGCCUUUUCGCUCUUAUUUUGCAAGGAUUAUUUGAAGAGGGAGAAUUCAGGCAGCUGGAAUUCUGGACUAGAAAAGGAGCAAAUCCUAGUCCACUAUUCUGCACAUCUCCAAAUGCCCUGAAAAUUUUCGUGGAUUUUUUCUAGAAUAUAUUAAAAAUACUGGGCGAAAGAACUACCAGAGGGGGCCACCAGGGCCCCACAAGCUUGCCCACCGCCGCCGCCCCCCUGGUGGCGCACGGCAGGCUUGUGGGCAGCCCACUGGCCCACUAGCCCCCCUCUUUUGCUAUAUGAUGCGUCCUGACCUGGAGAAAAUCAUACAGGAGCUUUUUCGUGGUUUCCCCGCCGCCACAGGGCGGAACUUGAGUAGAUCCAAUCUAGAGCUCCGGCAGGACGAUCUUGUCGGGGAAAUUUCCCUCCCGGAGGGGGGAAUCAUCACCAUCUUCAUCACCAACACUCCUCUCAGCGGAGGGGAGGCAUCUUCAUCAACAUCUUCAUCGGCACCAUCUCUUCUCCAAUCCCUAGUUCAUCUCUUGUAACCAAUCUUCGUCUCGCAACUCAGAUUAGUACUUGUAAGGUUGCUAGUAGUGUUGAUUACUCUUUGUAGUUGAUGCUUGUUGGAUUACUUGGUGGAAGAGUUUAUGUUCAGAUCCUUGAUGCUAUUCAUUACACCUCUGGUCAUGAUUAUGAUUAUAUCUUGUGAGUAGUUACUUUUGUUCCUAAGGACAUGGAAUAAGUCAUGCUGAUAAUAGUCAUGUGAAUUUGAUAUUCGUUCAGUAUUUUGAUAUGAUGUAUGUUGUUUUUCCUCUAGUGGUGUUAUGUGAACGUGGACUACAUAACACUUCACCAUAUUUGAGCCUAGAGGAAGGCAUUGUGAAGUAGUAAGUAGAUGAUGGGUUGCUGGAGUGACAGAAGCUUAAACCCCAGUUUAUGCGUUGCUUCGUGAGGGGAUGAUUUGGAUCCACUAGUUUAAUGCUAUGGUUAGACUUUGUCUUAAUUCUUCUUUUGUAGUUGCGGAUGCUUGCUAGAGAGGUUAAUCAUAAGUGGGAUGCUUGUCCAAGUAAGGUCAGUACCCAAGCGCCGGUCCACCCACAUAUCAAACUAUCAAAGUAACGAACGCGAAUCAUAUGAACAUGAUGAAACUAGCAUGACAGAAAUUCUCAUGUGUCCUCGGGAGCAUUUUUCCUCCUAUAUGACUUUGUUCAGGCUUGUCCCUUGCUACAAAAGGGAUUGGGCCACUUGCUGCACCGUUGCUACUACUUGUUAUUUGUUACUCUUUGCUUGCUACGUUUCACCUCGCUACACAAUCACUUGUUACCGCUACUUUCAGUGCUUGCAGUUAUUACCUUGCUGAAAUUCGUUUAUCACAGCCUUCUGCUCCUCGUUGGGUUCGACAAUCUUACUUAUAGAAAGGACUAUGAUUGAUCCCCUAUACUUGUGUUGGAAAUAUGCCCUAGAGGCAAUAAUAAAUUAGUUAUUAUUAUAUUUCUUUGUUCAUGAUAAUCGUUUCUUAUCCAUGCUAUAAUUGUAUUGAUUGGAAACACAGUGCAUGUGUGGAUACACAGACAAAACACAGUCCCUAGUAAGCCUCUAGUUGACUAGCUCGUUGAUCAAAGAUGGUCAAGGUUUCCUGACCAUAGGCAAGUGUUGUCACUUGAUAACGGGAUCACAUCAUUAGGAGAAUCAUGUGAUGGACUAGACCCAAACUAAUAAGACGUAGGAUGUUGAUCGUGUCAUUUUGUUGCUAUUGUUUUCUGCGUCUCAAGUAUUUGUUCCUAUGACCAUGAGAUCAUAUAACUCACUGACACCGGAGGAAUGCUUUGUGUGUAUCAAACGUUGCAACGUAACUGGGUGACUAUAAAGAUGCUCUAUAGGUAUCUCCGAAGGUGUUCGUUGAGAUAGUAUGGAUCGAGACUGGGAUUUGUCACUCCGUGUGACGGAGAGGUAUCUCGGGGCCCACUCGGUAAUACAACAUCACNNNNNNNNNNNNNNNNNNNNNNNNNNNNNNNNNNNNNNNNNNNNNNNNNNNNNNNNNNNNNNNNNNNNNNNNNNNNNNNNNNNNNNNNNNNNNNNNNNNNNNNNNNNNNNNNNNNGGUAAACGAGAUUGAAAUAGGUAUGCGGAUACUGACGAUCGAAUCUCGGGCAAGUAACAUACCGAAGUACAAAGGGAAUGACAUACGGGAUUAUAUGAAUCCUUGGCACCGAGGUUCAAACGAUAAGAUCUUCGUAGAAUAUGUAGGAUCCAAUAUGGGCAUCCAAGUCCCGCUAUUGGAUAUUGACCGAGGAGUCACUCGGGUCAUGUCUACAUAGUUCUCGAACCCGCAGGGUCUGUACACUUAAGGUUCGACGUUGUUUUAUGCGUAUUUGAGUUAUAUGGUUGGUUACCGAAUGUUGUUCGGAGUCCCGGAUGAGAUCACGGACAUCACGAGGGUUUCCGGAAUGGUCCGGAAACAAAGAUUGAUAUAUAGGAUGACCUCAUUUGAUUACCGGAAGGUUUUCGGAGUUACCGGGAAUAUACCGGGAAUGACGAAUGGGUUCCUCGGAAUGUACCAGGAAUGACGAAUGGGUUCCGGGUGUUCACCGGGGGGGCAACCCACCCCGGGGAAGCCCAUAGGCCUUGGGGGUGGCGCACCAGCCCUUAGUGGGCUGGUGGGACAGCCCAAUAAGGCCCUAUGCGCCAUAGGAAGAAAAUCAAAGAGAAAAAGGAAAAAAGAAAAGGGGAGGUGAGAAAAAGGGGAAGGACUCCACCUUCCAAACCUAGUUGGAUUCGGUUUGGAAGGGGAGGACUCCCCCCCUUGGCUCGACCGACCCCCAAGGCAAGGCCCCCCUCUCCCACCUAUAUAUACGGAGGUUUUAGGGUUGAUUUGAGACAACUUUGCCACGGCAGCCCGACCACAUACCACCAUGGUUUUACCUCUAGAUCGCGUUUCUGCGGAGCUCGGGUGGAGCCCUGCUGAGAUUAGAUCACCACCAAACUCCGGAGCGCCGUCAUGCUGCCCGAGAACUCAUCUACCUCUCCGUCUCUCUUGCUGGAUCAAGAAGGCCGAGAUCAUCGUCGAGCUGUACGUGUGCUGAACGCGGAGGUGCCGUCCGUUCGGCACUAGAUCGUGGGACGGAUCGCGGGACGGUUUGCGGGGCGGAUCGAGGGACGUGAGGACGUUCCACUACAUCAACCGCGUUUCUUAACGCUUCUGCUGUGCGAUCUACAAGGGUACAUAGAUCAAAUAUCCCCUCUCGUAGAUGGACAUCACCAUGAUAGGUCUUCGUGCGCGUAGGAAAAUUUUUGUUUCCCAUGCGACGUUCCCCAACAACUUGUGGGUCAUCAAGACUCUUUUCUGGCGCCGUUGCCGGGGAGUGAAGCGCCUUUGGUAAGUGGAAAUUGGUAAGGAAACAAUUUUAUACUGUGCUGAAAUUUAUUGUCACUUGUCACUAUGGAAACUCUUCCUUUGAGGAGUUUGUUCGGGGUAUCUUCACCAUGAACGGAAGCACGAGGAUUUGCUCCUCAACCUGAGGUACCUACUGAAAAUAUCUUUUAUAAAAUUCCUUUGGGUAUGCUUGAGAAAUUGCUGGCUAAUCCUUUUACAGGAGAUGGAUCUUCACAUCCAGACUUUCAUCUAAUCUAUGUAGAUGAAGUUUGUGGUUUAUUUAAGCUUGCAGGUUUGCCCGAGGAUGAGGUAAAGAAGAAACUCUUUCCUUUAUCUUUGAAGGAUAAGGCAUUGACAUGGUAUAGGCUAUGUGAUGAUACUGGAUCAUGCAGCUACAAUCGGUUGAAAUUGGAAUUUCAUCAAAAGUUCUAUCCCAUGCAUUUAGUAUAUCAUGAUCGGAACUUUAUUUAUAACUUUUGGCCUCGUGAUAGGGAAAGCAUAGCUCAAGCUUGGGGGAGGCUUAAAUCAAUGCUAUAUUCAUGCCCCAAUCAUGAGCUCUCGAGAGAAAUCAACACUCAAAACAUUUAUGCUCGGAUUUCUCAUGAAGAUCGUACCAUGCUUGAUACUUCUUGUGCCGGUUCUUUUAUGAAGAAGAAUAUUGAUCACAAGUGGAAUUUAUUGGAGAGAAUCAAACGCAACUCUGGAGAUUGGGAGCUGGAGGAAGGUAAGGACUCAGGUAUGAAUUUCUAUUUUGAUUGCGUUAAAUCUUUUGUUGAGACAAACACUUCUAGAGAGCGCUAAGUAUGGACUUGACUCUGAGAUAGUAGCUUCUCUUUGUAAAUCUUUUGCUGCUCAUGUUGAUCUUCCCAAAGAGAAGUGGUUUAAAUAUCAUCCUCCUGUAGAAAGCAACAUAGCCAAAACCAAUCUAGUUGAGGAGAAAAUCAUAGCUUUUAGUGAUCCUGUUGUUCCUUGUGCUUACACUGAGAAACCACCAUACCCUGCUAGGAUGAAGGAUUAUUCUAAAGCUCCAACUGUGAUACGUAGGGGUUACAUUAGACCACUUGCACCCCCUGAAGAGAUUAGAGUUGAACCUAGUGUUGCUAUUAUCAAAGAUCUCUUAGCCAAAGAGAUAGAUGGGCAUGUUAUCAAAUUCUGUGAGGACUCCGCUAGAAUUGCUAAACCUCACGCGAAAGACAAGCACGGACCUGUAGUUGGCCUGCCCGUUGUUUCUGUUAAGAUAGGAGAUCACUGUUACCAUGGUUUAUGUGAUAUGGGAGCUAGUGUUAGUGCAAUACCCCGUUCUCUAUAUGAUGAAAUCAAAGAUGAGAUUGCACCAGCUGAGAUAGAACCCAUUGAUGUCACUAUCACGCUAGCUAAUAGAGACACUAUAUGCCCUUUGGGAAUUGUGAGAGAUGUAGAAGUCCUGUGUGGUAAGACGAAGUAUCCUACUGAUUUCCUCGUCCUUGGUACUACACAAGAUAGCUUUUGUCCCAUCAUAUUCGGUAGACCCUUUCUCAACACUAUCAAUGCUCACAUUGAUUGCAUUAAGCAGACUGUCAUAGUAAGUUUCGAGGGUGUGUCUCAUGAAUUUAACUUCUCCAAGUUUGGAAGACAACCCCAUGAAAGAGAUUCAUCUGGUAGGGAUGAAAUCAUUGCUCUUUCCUCUAUUGCCAUACCUCCUACGAAUCCUUUAGAGCAAUAUCUGCUUGAGCAUGAAAAUGAUAUGCAUACGGAGGAGAGAGAUGAGAUAGAUAGAAUUGUCUUAGAACAAUGUCCUAUUCUCAAGAAUAAUCUGCAUGUUGAACUGCUUGGGGAUCCUCCCCCACCAAAGGGUGAUCCUGUGUUCGAGCUUAAACAGUUGCCUGAUACUCUUAAGUAUGCCUAUCUUGAUGAGAAGGAGAUAUAUCCUGUCAUUAUUAGUGCUCUCCUCUCAGAGCGUGAAGAGAAGAAGUUACUAAAAACUCUGAGGAAGCACCGCGCUGCUAUUGGAUAUACUCUUGAUGAUCUUAAGGGUAUUAGUCCUACUCUAUGUCAGCACAAGAUUAAAACCGAUCCUGACUUUAAACCAGUUGCUGAUCAUCAAAGGAGAUUAAAUCCUAAGAUGAAAGAGGUCGUUAGAAAAGAAAUAUUAAAGCUUCUGGAAGCAGGAAUCAUUUAUCCUAUUGCUCAUAGUGAUUGGGUAAGUCCAGUACAUUGCGUACCUAAGAAGGGAGGUAUCACCGUCGUUCCUAAUGAUAAGGAUGAACUAAUCCCACAAAGGAUUAUUACCGGCUAUAGAAUGGUGAUAGACUUCCGGAAACUGAACAAGGCAACCAGGAAAGAUCAUUAUCCUUUGCCGUUCAUCGACCAAAUGCUAGAAAGGCUAUCAAAGCACACACACUUUUGCUUUCUAGACGGUUAUUCAGGUUUCUCGCAAAUACCUGUUGCAUAAUUUGAUCAAGAGAAAACCACCUUCACCUGCCCUUUCGAUACCUUUGCCUAUAGAUGUAUGCCUUUUGGCUUAUGUAAUGCACCUGCCACCUUUCAAAGAUGUAUGAUGGCUAUAUUCUCUGACUUUUGUGAAAAGAUUGUCGAGGUUUUCAUGGAUGACUUCUCCAUUUACGGGUCUUCCUUUGAUGAUUGCCUCAGCAACCUUGAUCGAAUCUUACAGAGAUGCGAAUAAACCAACCUCGUCUUGAAUUGGGAGAAGUGCCACUUUAUGGUUAAUGAAGGUAUCGUCUUAGGACACAAAAUCUCUGAAAGAGGCAUUGAAGUUGAUAAGGCUAAGGUUGAUGCAAUUGAGAAAAUGCCUUGCCCCACAGAUAUCAGAGGUAUACGAAGUUUCCUAGGUCAUGCUGAUUUCUAUAGAAGGUUCAUUAAAGACUUCUCUAAGAUUUCUAGGCCUCUUACCAACCUCUUGCAGAAGGAUGUUCCUUUUGUUUUUGAUGAGGAUUGUGAGGAAGCCUUCGAAAUACUUAAGAAGGCUUUGAUAACCGCACCUAUUGUUCAACCACCUGACUGGAACUUUCCCUUUGAAAUCAUGUGUGACGCUAGUGAUUAUGCUGUUGGUGUUGUUCUAGGACAAAGAGUUGACAAGAAGUUGAAUGUCAUUCACUACGCUAGUAAAACUCUAGACAGUGCCCAAAGGAACUAUGCCACUACGGAGAAGGAAUUUUUAGCACUCGUGUUUGCAUGUGAAAAAAUCAGAUCUAACAUAGUUGACUCCAAGGUCACUAUUCACUCUGAUCAUGCUCCUAUUAAGUACCUUAUGGAGAAGAAGGACGCUAAGCCUAGGCUUAUCAGAUGGGUUCUCCUGCUACAGGAAUUUGAUUUGCACGUCAUUGACCGAAAGGGUGCUGAUAACCCUGUAGCAGAUAACUUGUCUAGGCUAGAGAAUGUCCUUGAUGACCCACUACCAAUUGAUGACAGCUUUCCUGAUGACCAAUUAAAUGUCAUCCGCACUUCACUUAGUGCACCAUGGUAUGCCGAUUAUGCAAACUAUAUCGUAGCCAAAUACAUACCACCCAGUUUCACCUAUCAACAAAAGAAGAAAUUCUUCUUUGAUUUGAGACACUACUUUUGGGAUGAUCCUCACCUUUAUAAGGAAGGAGUAGAUGGUGUUAUUAGACGUUGUGUGCCUGAACAUGAACAGGGACAGAUCCUGCAGAAGUGUCAUUCCGAAGCCUACGGAGGACACCACGCUGGAGAUAGAACUGCCCAUGAGGUAUUGCAAUCAGGUUUCUAUUGGCCCACUCUCUUCAAGGAUGCUCGUAAGUUUGUCUUGUCUUGUGACAAAUGCCCAAGGAUAGGGAACAUCAGUAAGCGUCACAAGAUGCCUAUGAACUAUUCACUUGUCAUUGAACCAUUUGAUGUCUGGGGCUUUGAUUAUAUGGGACCCUUCCCGAGUUCCAGUGGGUACACUCACAUCUUAGUUGUUGUGGAUUACGUUACUAAGUGGGUAGAAGCUAUCCCCACUAAAAAUGCUGAUCACCACAACUCUAUUAAGAUGCUUAAAGAAGUUAUAUUCCCAAGAUUUGGAGUCCCUAGAUACUUGAUGACUGAUGGCGGUUCACACUUCAUUCAUGGUGUUUUCCGCAAGAUGCUAGCUAAGUAUGAUGUCAACCAUAGAGUUGCAUCUCCUUAUCAUCCUCAGUCUAGUGGUCAAUUGGAGUUGAGUAAUAGGGAGAUCAAGUUGAUCUUACAAAAGACCGUCAAUAGAUCCCGAAAGAACUGGUCUAGCAAACUUGACGAUGCACUAUGGGCUUAUAGGACUGCUUAUAAAAAUCCCAUGGGCAUGUCACCGUAUAAAAUGGUUUACGGUAAGGCCUGUCAUUUACCUCUUGAGUUGGAACACAAAGCUUAUUGGGCAAUCAAAGAGCUCAACUUUGAUUUCAAACUUGCCAGUGAGAAGCGGUUGUUUGAUAUCAGCUUGUUGGAUGAAUGGAGAGCCCAGGCAUAUGAGAAUACCACGUCGUCAAGGAAAAGGUUAAGAGAUGGCACGACAAACGAAUACAGAAACGAGAGUUCAAUGUAGGUGAUUAUGUCUUGCUAUACAAUUCUCGUUUGAGAUUCUUUGGAGGCAAGCUUCUCUCUAAAUGGGAAGGUCCCUACGUUGUCGAGGAAGUAUAUCGUUCCGGUGCCAUCAAAAUCAAUAAUACAAGGAAAUUUUCCUAGAGUGGUAAAUGGGCAAAGAAUCAAGCAUUACAUCUCUGGUACUCCCAUAAAUGUUGAGACCAAUAUCAUCAAUGUCAUAACUCCACAGGAGUACAUAAGGGAUGUUUAUCAGCCUGUUUCAGACCUUGAAAACGAAGAUGUAUCUGUUUCGGCAAGAAAUUGGACUCCGAUACUUUUCCAAUAGGAAAUUUCCUCAGUUUUGGAAUUUUUGGAAAAUUAGAAAAAUAAAAAAGCAGUCCGGAGAGCAAACGAGGAAGCCACAAGGGCCCACUCCGCCACCACCCCCUGGUGGCGGUGGGCAAGCUUGUGGGCACCUUGUGUGCCUCCCGGACUCCGUUUUCUUGCAGAGGACUCCUUCUGGCCCAGAAAAAAUCAAUAUAUAGUUGCCCGAAGGUUUUGAUCUUCAUAUCGCGUAGUUUUCCUCUGUUUUCGUUUCGAGCUUGUUUCUGCCGCAGAUCUAGAUCAUCAUGACUUCCCCAAACGCUCCUAAGGACAAGAUCUUGGAGAAGGUCAUCAAUCCCUACCUCACGGAAGUGCUAAAACACCAUCAAUCUAUCAAGAUGAGCGAGGGGAUGUUGCACAUCCGUGAUGUUGAGGGGCCUAAGAAGACCGGAAGCAUGGAGACGAGGCUCGAAGUAGUGGAGCAACAAGUCUUCAUGUGCCAAGGGAUGGUUGAGCGUGGACUCAACGCCAACCACACGAUGAUCACGGAGUUCACUAGCAAUCACAAGAUGGAUGUCAUUGAUAUCGGGAAACACCUCUCCAGACUUUACGAUAGGGUUGACCAACUUCAGGGCCAAAUCUAUGACCUGCAGAAUCAAAACUGUGAGUAUGGGUAUAGAUUUAAAUCAAUAAGGUUGGCUGCAGAUUUGAGGAUUUCGGCUACUCGUUCAUCCUGCCAUGAUGGAGCACCUAUGCCUUGGAAGACGGAGGAUCAGACUACUCCAACAACACCACCAUCAUCACCAAAGGAAGACAACUAAGCAUUGGUAUGGGCAAUCCCCUUGGCUUCUGCCGAGCUUGGGGGAGUUGCCCUGGUAUCAUAUCACCUUUAUAUCUUUUGCUUUUACCUUUGUUUUAGUUCUUUCCCUUUCAGUUUUUAUUUCUUCUUUUAGAGGAAUAAGUCUUUAGUUUUUAGUUUGAGUCUUUUGCUUUUGGUCUCUCCCCCGAUGUAUUCGAGCUUACGAGCUAUAUAAUAAAGAGUGUCUUAGUCAAAGGGCUUUGCUUUGUGCCAUGAUCAAAAGUAUGAAAAGAACGAUAGCAUGAAAGAUCAUGAGACGAUCUUAUGGAAAGUGAUAACUUCACUUAUGACACGUAUGAUGAUUGAAACUUGUCGAGAAUAAAUCAACACAUACCUCAGUCAUUGUUGCAAUUAAUAAGAAGUAAUAAGGAAAGAGAGGUUCACAUAUAAAUAUAUCAUCUUAGACACUUUCUACAAUUGUGAGCACUCACCAAACUAUUACAUGCCUAGGAGUAGAUGUUGGACAAGGAAGACAACAUAAUGAAUUGUGUUUGCUUGGUUCCAAACAAUGUUAUAUGAUUAGAGAUCCCUUAGCAUGUGACGAUUGCUUCCACCUCAUAUUAGCCAAAACUUCCGCACCAAGUAGAGAUACUACUUGUGCAUCCAUAAACCUUCAACCCAGUUUUGCCAUGAGAGUCCACCAUACCUACCUAUGGAUUGAAUAAGAUCCUUCAAGUAAGUUGUCAUCGGUGCAAGCAAUAAAAAUUGCUCUCUAAUAUGUAUGAUCUAUUAGUGUGUGGAAAAUAAGCUUUGUACGAACCUGUGAUGAGGAAGACAUAAAAGCGACAGACUGCAUAAUAAAGUUCUUUGUCACAGGAGGCAAUAUAAAGUGACGUUCCUCCGCACUAAGAGGACACGCAUUCAAACCUCAAAAGUGCAUGACAACCUCUGCUUCCCUCUGCGAAGGGCCUAUCUUGUACCUUUACUUUUACCCUUGUAAGAGUCAUGGUGAUCAUCACCAAUUCCCUUUUUGCCUUCGUCUUGGCUACCGUCACAUGCUUGGAAAAGAUCUAUAUUCAUAUAUCAACUUGGAGUUGAGUACUCAUGCUUUAUUGUUGUUGACUUUACCCUUGAGGUAAACCGUUGGGAGGAAAAACUAUAAGCCCCCAUCUUCCUCUGUGUCGAGCUGAAGCUUUGACACCAUGAGUACCACGUGAGCUAUAAAAAUUGUGGAAAACAAAAGAGAUGAUUGAGUAUGUGGGUUUGCCUUACAAGCUCUUAUUUGACUCUUUCUGAUGUUGUGAUAAAUUGCAAUUGCUUCAAUGAUUAUGGACUAUUGUUGGUUACUUCUCGGUAAGGUUUUUGCUUCAUGCUUUGCUUUGUGAAGGAAUUGUUACUUUCCCAUAAGAAUCUUUAUAUAUAUUGUUGUUCUAUGUGUGAUCAUGAUGCCCUCAUGUCUGUAUUAUGUUUUAUCGACACCUUCGUCCCUCAACAUGUGGACGUGUUUAUGGAACUUGGUUUUCGCUUGAGGACAAGCGAGGUCUAAGCUUGGGGGAGUUGAUACGUCCAUUUUGCAUCAUGUUUUCAUGUUGAUAUUUAUUGCUUCUUGGGAUGUUAUAUUACUUGUGGUGCCAUAUUUAUGCCUUUUCGCUCUUAUUUUGCAAGGAUUAUUUGAAGAGGGAGAAUUCAGGCAGCUGGAAUUCUGGACUAGAAAAGGAGCAAAUCCUAGUCCACUAUUCUGCACAUCUCCAAAUGCCCUGAAAAUUUACGUGGAUUUUUUCUGGAAUAUAUUAAAAAUACUGGGCGAAAGAACUACUGGAGGGGGGCCACCAGGGCCCCACAAGCUUGCCCACCACCACCACCCCCUGGUGGCGCACGGUAGGCUUGUGGGCAGCCCACUAGCCCACUAGCCCCCCUCUUUUGCUAUAUGAUGCGUCCUGACCUGGAAAAAAUCAUACAGGAGCUUUUUCGUGGUUUCGCCGCCACCACGGGGCGGAACUUGAGCAGAUCCAAUCUAGAGCUCUGGCAGGACAAUCCUGCCGGGGAAAUUUCCCUCCCGGAGGGGGGAAUCGUCGCCAUCUUCAUCACCAACACUCCUCUCGUCGGAGGGGAGGCAUCUUCAUCAACAUCUUCAUCAGCACCAUCUCUUCUCCAAUCCCUAGUUCAUCUCUUGUAACCAAUCUUCAUCUCGCAACUCAAAUUGGUACUUGUAAGGUUGCUAGUAGUGUUGAUUACUCUUUGUACUUGAUGCUUGUUGGAUUACUUGGUGGAAGAUUUUAUGUUCAGAUCCUUGAUGCUAUUCAUUACACCUCUGGUCAUGAUUAUGAUUAUGUCUUGUGAGUAGUUACUUUUGUUCCUGAGGACAUGGAAUAAGUCAUGCUGAUAAUAGUCAUGUGAAUUUGAUAUUCGUUCGGUAUUUUGAUAUGAUGUAUGUUGUUUUUCCUCUAGUGGUGUUAUGUGAAUGUCAACUACAUAACACUUCACCAUAUUUGGGUCUAGAGGAAGGCAUUGGAAAGUAGUAAGUAGAUGAUGGGUUGCUGGAGUGACAGAAGCUUGAACCCCAGUUUAUGCGCUACUUCGUGAGGGGUUGAUUUGGAUCCACUAGUUUAAUGCUAUGGUUAGACUUUGUCUUAAUUCUUCUUUUGUAGUUGCGGAUGCUUGCGAGAUAGGUUAAUCAUAAGUGGGAUGCUUGUCCAAGUAAGGGCAGUACCCAAGUGCCGGUCCACCCACAUAUCAAACUAUCAAAGUAACGAAUGCGAAUCAUAUGAACAUGAUGAAACUAGUAUGACAGAAAUUCCCGUGUGUCCUCGGGAGCGUUUUCCUCCUAUAAGACUUUGUUCAGGCUUGUCCCUUGCUACAAAAGGGAUUGGGCCACUUGCUGCACCGUUGCUACUACUUGUUACUUGUUACUCUUUGCUUGCUACGUUUCACCUCGCUACACAAUCACUUGUUACCGCUACUUUCAGUGCUUGCAGUUAUUACCUUGCUGAAAUCCGUUUAUCAGAGCCUUUUGCUCCUCGUUGGGUUCGACACUCUUACUUAUCGAAAUGACUACGAUUGAUCCCCUAUACUUGUGGGUCAUCAAGUUGCGUGAUCACAUGGUCAUAGGAACAGAAACAUUGACAUGCAGAAAAAUAGUAGCAAUAAACUGACACGAUCAUAUGCUACAUUUAUAGUUCGGUUCUUGUCCAUCACAUCAUUCUCCCAAUGAUGUGAUCCCGUCAUCAAGUGACAACACUUGCCUAUGGCCAGGAAACCUUGACCAUCUUUGAUCAACGAGCUAGUCAACUAGAGGCUCACUAGGGACAGUGGGUUGUCUAUGUAUCCACACAUGUAUUUGAGUUUCCAAUCAAUACAAUUCUAGCAUGGAUAAAUAAAUGAUUAUUACGAACAAGGAAAUAUAAUAAUAACCAAUUUAUUAUUGCCUCUAGGGCAUAUUUCCAACAAUUUCUAUGUAAAAGGUGCGGAUAGUACCUCAUUCUCGUCUAUCCCAAGCUGAGGUAUGUCACCGACCCUAUGCUCAUCCAUGCAUACAAAAUUAUCCACUGGAGCCCUGAAUAAUUUUUUAUAGUAUUCAAAGAUAUAUUGUUUGAGAUUCUCAUGUCCCACAAUUGUACCCUCAUCUUGUUCUAGCUGGAUAAUUUUUUUAUUCCUAUGCUUUCCAUUAGCUAUUAGAUGGAAAUGUUGUGUGUUGUCAUCUCCUUGUACCACUUGGAGGACUUUCGCUCUUAGUGCCCACUUCAACUCCUCCUCUCUGAGUAGUUGUUUGAGCUUUAGUUCAGCCUCCAUUUUUCAAUGACCUCUCAUUGUCACCUAAUAACGUUUGUUCGGCUUUUAUGUCUAGUGUGUUUAUAAGUUUAUAAGUUCGACAAGCCUUUGUUUCUUUUUCUUAUAAAUUACACUAUCGUGCUUUUCCCAACCCCUUAAGAAUUGCCUCAGGUGUCUUAUCUUAUUUUGCCACCUGUCAACAUUCGAGUCACCUUCUGUGAAAUAGCCCAUUCUCAAACCCGUCCCUUUCAAACCAUCCCAAUUCGAAAGAAAAAAGGUUUUUAUUUCCCACAUGUGUUGCUUCUCGCGAGUCUACAAACAGUGGGGUAUGAUCAGAGAUAGCUCUUGGUAACUCUCAAACUGUGACGAGAGGGAAUUUCUGCUCCCAUUCCACACUCAUGAGAACCCGGUCCAACUUCUCAAAAGUUGGGUUAGGUAAAGAGUUUGCCCAAGUAAACUUUCUCCCUGAUAGCUCAAUCUCCCACAAAUUAAGGCUCUCGAUGAUUGAAUUAAACAUAAAUGACCAUCUUCCAUCAAAGUUAUCACUGUUUUUCUCAUCCUGCCUCCAGAUUAUAUUAAAAUCGCCCCCUACUAAAAUCGGCAGUCUCUCGUCCCCGCAGAUUCGGACAAGGUCAGCCAAGAAAUCUCUCUUGAACUCAGGCUGGGCCGCCCCAUGCACAUCUACGAGUGCCCAUUGGAACCCGUCAUCUUUGGAGCGAACUCAAAAUUUGACUGCAAAGUCUCCAUACACCACUUUCGUAGUUGUGGUGUCUCGCACCGAACCCCAAGCAAGAUCCCACCUGAUCUUCCUCUUGGAGGUAGACAAUGCCAGUCAAAUUCAGAACCUCCAUACAACGUGUUUAAAAACGAAGCUAUAUAGUUAUCUCUCCCAGUUUCCAUCAAUGCAACGAAAUCCAAUUUGUGCUCAAUAGUUGUUUCAGCUAGGAAUCUUCUUUUAGCCAAGUCUGCUAGACCUCUGCUAUUCCAAAAUGUUCCUUUCAUCGCUCAUCAUGAAAUUUCUUAGCCGUUUUAAAUCUAGCACUACGACGCACAGCUGAAACAGGAUAGACUUUUCUCUUCCAGGUUCUUUUUGGCCUAUCCUGAACCUCCGACCGAUCCACAUAACCGUUGGACUCUUGUGCGUUAGCAUUCGUUUGUGGAGGAGCCUCAUACCCCUCCUGAACGAUAUCAUUUGUGUCUUCAAGCAAAAGGGGGGUGGCACAAGAUCCUCACAUAAACGCUCUAAGGCUCCCAAACCCAAUGCAUUUAUAUCAGAAUCAUUCAUAGGUUUUACGGCUGCAAUUUUUCUGACCAUCUCAAUUGCCCUCUCUGCCUCUAAGUCUAACAUGUCAUUUACCGAUCUAGAUAUCUCCUGGUCUACCAAACGCUAGAAUAAGGCCUAGUAACGGGCCCGACCCAUGCCAUUUUGGCCCAUGACUGCAACCAAACACACCCUUAAGUAACUUCUACAAUAUCCAUCCCCAACUUCCAGAAAUUCUAACACUUAAAAAAUCAAAAUCAAACUAUUGGCAUUUAAAACUUUCAUACAUUUCAUUUCUGAAAAAAAUGGUCUUUUAGAUUUCGAAAUAUCAGUAUUAUAUUUUUUACAAAAUUUAACUUUAAGAAUUUUCAAAAUUAUAAGGAUUCAAAAUUCAAAUGUUUUAGCACUUAAAAAAAUUCAAACUUUAAAAAAAUUGAACUUUCAAAUGUUUUGAAUUUUAAGAAGUGUGAACUUUCAUUUUUUUAUAAAGGAUGGGUUUUAUUUACUCAAAAUAAAGCAUCAAGAGCAUACAAAUACAAUAAGAACACACCCGGCCACUUUAUAACUAGGAUGCACACAACCAACUCAAACUCACACACACAAAAAUACGAUCGGUAAAUAGCAAAGUCAUAUAAGACCAAAGCUAUGUGCGCGGUUGGAAAAAGAAACCAAAGCGACCAUAUUGGCAAUGGACAAACUACAACAAUGACCAUAUCUGCACCAACAAUUUCAUUACACCACACGGACAACGAGGUUCCUCAACAAUGACACCUUCAGAAAGGGAGCGACGCUCAAAUGCCGCUAUCAUCGGAUCCAACCAUCCAAGGUCAGAUGCAAGAUUUUCACUCUGAGAAUCAGUCCAAGCAUGUCCGAGCAAUUCCUUCAAUAAGGUAAUGGCGUAAAAACAUCGCCAUUGCCAGGUACAGCCAACUCGAGUUGGACCUAGGCUUUCACCCGGGAGCUCAAGACCGGGUGCUCGAGAAGCACCACCAUCGAAGUCACUAUGUGUUGUUGCCACUACUUUUCCACAAUCUCAGUAGCUAUAUGCGAUGUGUGACCGCUGAUGCUGCACAACCAUCCCUCUACAUCAAGCCAUCAUCAAUAGUUUCAAUCUCACCGUUGAAGUCAACCAUCGGAUCUCCAAGAUCAAUCAUGAAGACCUUUUGAUGGAUACUACAUCAAUCCGCCGCGAGACCGCCACCGUAGUCAUGGUGGUCACCACACGUUCGUCGUCACGCCCCUAGCAGACCUAAAGGUCCACACCAAGGAACCACGGGUCCACACGCAUGGAGCCAUGGAUGUGUGUGUGGAUCAUGAAACGACCAAUCCAUGGCCAUGGCCAUUAGAUGAGACUAUCCCUGGCUGAUGGCAGGUGUCCAAGCCCUGCCGACAUGGCCACUACACCAUGGGCGCCAUCCCACAUGAAGGAGCCACCAGGCGGAGCAGCGACCACAAGUGAGGCGAGAUCUACACCAGCAAUGGCUGGAUCAUCCAGGUAACUGUCCGCUGGAUCUGUGGUGACAUCGUUGGAGGAAGCACGGGGUAGAGAGUGUGAAUCUGGGUUGGGGGAGAGGGGAAGGUCGGGGAAGAAGAUCCCUGUGGCGGUUGAGUCCCGCCGCCGCUGACAAACUGUCAUCGAUGAUGACGACGAGGAUGGAACAUCGGAGGCGGCCUCGAGUGCUAGGGUUUCUCGCCCCCGGUGUCGCCCUGGAGCAACACGGGAGGCCGAUGGCGAUUUCAUAGGAGAGAGAGAGAGAAGGUUGAGAAAUAGAAUCACAUGGUUGGGCAUGUGAGGAAAGAGAGAGAUGGAAAGAAGCACAUGGAUGAGGCCCCCUCGUCCUAUCUACCACAUGGUAACCUGACACAGUCACAUGCAAUGCUUGCGGCAAUGACCAUGGGCACAGUUCCCACAAGAGAGCAUUCUUAGAGUAAUAGCGAGUCUCAUCCUCAUGUUGGAUGCCUAUAUAAAGCUUCUCCUUUCCAACAUUCAUCAUACGAAUUGGCCAAAAUUUCUUUCUCAUUUGUGAUCUUUCAUCACAUUCAACUUUCCUUUGUAUAUAUUGUUGCUAAGCUUCAAAUUCUAAUCAGCUGGAGCUAAGCAAUGAAUUCUUCAUGCCAUCGAGCAUUCCUCGUGAGGAACAUCUUUUGUACUUUGGAAUGAGUGGUAUCGAGAAAUUAGUCAGGACGACUUUCUGAGGCUGAGGCGCCGCUUUUUUCUGUUCUCGUCUCUGAGACGUUGAGGUGGUAGACAUUUAUGAUAAGUGCAUUUCUUGUUGAGAAUAGCAUCGAUAAUCAUGUCUAGUCUAACAACUUGCUCAUUUAGGACUACCCUGGACAGUGCAACAAGUAAAAUACCAAAUCCUUGUACAAAAACAAGUUGUUGCCCUGUGGUGAGGAGUUGAAGCUAUGGCAUGAACUCGUCCAUGUGUGCGGUAUUUCUCCUUGUUGUUUCCAUCGUCUCUAGAAAUCGCUAAAAAGAUCAAAAACAAUAUCAAACCGUUGACACUAUGUGUCUACCAUCUCACACAAAUUCGAACCCAUAUCCAUCGCAGAUCUCCAAAAACAAACAAACAAGACGGAUCCAGUGUUGAACAGCAUAGCAACUAAUUCAAAUCAGCACAUGAACACAUCAUAUCAUCAGCACCAACACAAGAUUGUUUUUUUUUCUCUUUUCUUCAAACAAUAUCCUGAUUAAGGUUUAAAUAUUCUUGUGGCGUUGUAAAUACAUGUUGUGUGUCAGAGACAUAAUUCUUUUUCAAAUAAAAAAACAUAACUUUUUUUACCACAAAUUUUUCUAGGCUUAUGUGUGUGUAUCUUCCUUGUUUCAGUUCCAAGUGACAAGAGGCAAACUUGUCACGGUUGACUGAAUAGAACAGUAGCAAUCGACCUGCCCGGAGCUUCUAUUUUUUGUAGGUGAUUUUCUCUGUUAAGAGUGACUUCUUCUUUUUUGAGAGUUUUGUUAAGAGUGACAUGAAAUCUGCAUAUGGCGAUCGAGCACGCAUGCCGGCGAUCCCACACGGCGCACCGCAGCCACAAGCCGAUCGCCCCCACAAAAUCUGCCCGACGGCUCCCACCGGGAUGGGAUUCCCCGGUGCCAAUGGCGCGCGCCCACCUCACCCCCUCUUAUCCCCGCCUCACCCACUCGCGCCACGCCCCUUAUCCCCUCCUCUUACAAACCCACACAAACUAAUCAUCGCCCACCACCCUCCAACGAUCACCAACCAAAACCCCUCCACACGCCCGCCCGCGCGCGCCACGGACGCAGCAAUGGCCGCCCUCGCCGCCUCCAUCGCCACCUCCACGGCGUUCGCCGCGAAGCCGCGCCUGUCCCGCCCGCCGGCGCGCCUCUCCGUCUCCUGCUCCGCGUCCAGCGGCGACAACAACAACAGCACCGCCACCCCCUCGCUCUCCGCCUCCAUCAAGACCUUCUCGGCCGCGCUGGCGCUCUCCUCCGUGCUCCUCUCCUCCGCCGCCACCUCCCCGCCCCCCGCGGCUGCCGACAUCGCCGGCCUGACCCCGUGCAAGGAGUCCAAGGCCUUCGCCAAGCGGGAGAAGCAGUCGGUCAAGAAGCUCAACUCGUCGCUCAAGAAGUACGCGCCCGACUCCGCCCCGGCGCUCGCCAUCCAGGCCACCAUCGACAAGACCAAGCGCCGGUUCGAGAACUACGGCAAGUUCGGCCUGCUCUGCGGCUCCGACGGCCUGCCCCACCUCAUCGUCAGCGGCGACCAGCGGCACUGGGGCGAGUUCAUCACCCCCGGCGUGCUCUUCCUCUACAUCGCCGGCUGGAUCGGCUGGGUCGGACGCAGCUACCUCAUCGCCGUCAGCGGCGAGAAGAAGCCCGCCAUGAGGGAGAUCAUCAUCGACGUCGAGCUCGCCGCCAGGAUCAUCCCCAGGGGCUUCAUCUGGCCCGUCGCCGCAUACCGCGAGCUCAUCAACGGCGACCUCGUCGUCGACGACGCCGACAUCGGCUACUAAGAAGCUGCCAUGCGUGCGUGCGUGCGUGGUUGGCUAGUCGGUCCCAAGUCAGGU